rnacentral:rRNA from 1 species
UCAGGAUGAACGCUGGCGGCGUGCUUAACACAUGCAAGUCGGACGAUGAAGCCCUUCGGGGUGGAUUAGUGGCGAACGGGUGAGUAACACGUGAGCAACCUGCCCUUGACUCUGGGAUAAGCCUGGGAAGCUGGGUCUAAUACCGGAUAGUACCUUCUGCCGCAUGGUGGGGGGUGGAAAGCCUUGUGCGGUCUUGGAUGGGCUCGCGGCCUAUCAGCUUGUUGGUGGGGUGAUGGCCUACCAAGGCGACGACGGGUAGCCGGCCUGAGAGGGUGACCGGCCACACUGGGACUGAGACACGGCCCAGACUCCUACGGGAGGCAGCAGUGGGGAAUAUUGCACAAUGGGCGCAAGCCUGAUGCAGCGACGCCGCGUGGGGGAUGACGGCCUUCGGGUUGUAAACCCCUUUCGGCAGGGGACAAGCCUUCGGGUGAGGGUACCUGCGGAAGAAGCGCCGGCUAACUACGUGCCAGCAGCCGCGGUAAUACGUAGGGCGCGAGCGUUAUCCGGAAUUAUUGGGCGUAAAGAGCUCGUAGGCGGUUUGUCGCGUCUGCUGUGAAAGCCCGGGGCUCAACCCCGGGUCUGCAGUGGGUACGGGCAGGCUGGAGUGCAGUAGGGGAGACUGGAAUUCCUGGUGUAGCGGUGAAAUGCGCAGAUAUCAGGAGGAACACCGAUGGCGAAGGCAGGUCUCUGGGCUGUAACUGACGCUGAGGAGCGAAAGCGUGGGGAGCGAACAGGAUUAGAUACCCUGGUAGUCCACGCCGUAAACGUUGGGCACUAGGUGUGGGGGGCAUUCCACGUCCUCCGCGCCGCAGCUAACGCAUUAAGUGCCCCGCCUGGGGAGUACGGCCGCAAGGCU